rnacentral:lncRNA from 1 species
ACUUCCCAGGGAACUUUUAUUUUGACCAAGCAACAUUGCAGGGCAGAAAACGAACAGGAACAGAACAUUUCCACUGUUUCCCAUGUCAUUUUACUAGACAUAUUUUCUUCUGUUUUUAUUUUUAUCUGAAAAGUCAUCCUCAAACACAGAAAGUAGGAGAAAUGAGUCAUGCCUCUUUUUUUUCAGUUUGUUCCAAGAGGGGAGAUGAGAGUACAAUGAGAUUGAAGGUAUCGUUUUGACAUUAACAUUUGCCCCCAAACAUCAUGCAGUGCAAAAAGUCACAUCCGCAUCAUGCAAGGACAUUAAAGGACAUGGUGGAAUAAAAUCCUGGGCUUUAUGAUGAGAUGUUCAUCAUCUCCCUGGGGCAGGCGUCCCCUUUUGGAUUCAAGGUAAAGAAAUAUCAAAACAGGGCAGCGAAGCUUCCUGUCUCACAACACAUAGAAACGAGAUCGUUUUCUUGUUCACUGAGACAGCAGCUCUGGGUGCUAGAGGAAUGACUGAUCCACCUCAGUCCAUUUCCUAUGAGUUGUUAAAAUCUAGUUUUGGGGGCUUCCAUUUUUGUGACAUAUUACAAAACCCUAGGUAGGCAGUCACUCCACAUUUCUAGGACUCUAUUUCUCUUAUAUAUAACUAUACUCCCCCCCUCAAAAAAAAAAUUGGAUGGUGAAGCCAAUUGGAAAACCCCAAUCAAAUAUCAAAUAUUAGACCGAAGAGGAGAUCCAUCCUCAAACUUCAUUUAGACACGGCAGCUUUGCAACACAGAAUGACUAUUGGGUGGCCCCCUUCUGCACCUAAAUUACUCACUCAAUCUUCUGUGGACUUCAUCAAAAUAUUAUCUUUCAAUUGGAAUAUCAUACAAAGAGGUAUAUGUCCAUAAAUUUACAUAUGGCUGGAACUGGUACAGCACCUCUCCUCAAAAGACUUUUAAGUGUCUGGUUCACCUCUGUGAUACUGCUUGUGAUUUAGAGGCUGUCUGAGGAAAUUAGCAUAAUUACAUAAAAAAGAACUCAGAGGAACUUAAGGUCCUAACCCUUAAUCGCUAAGCUCAGUGUCUGGUAUCUCCUGACACAUUUUAAAAAGGAAAAAUAAACAGAUCUCUUUCAUCCAAGGAUCUCACAGCUCCUACCAAGCAGUGUAAUUUACGGAAGGAAGGAAAGGAAGCAGGAUGAUAAGUUAUGCCCCAAUCCACAGCCAGCCCAGCUGCAGAGCAGUACAGGAGGAACGGUAAACUUUCAGGCCACGAGGAAGAGACUGUACUCAAGAAACAGGGGCCCUCAGGUUUUUGGUGGAUGACCUCCGAGAAGCCACCAUGGCCCUGUGCCCAUGGCAGUGCAAGGGCACGUACAGUCAAGUUCACCUGCUGGUCCCCACACCACUGCACAAGGCAGAGAUGGAGGGAGACUCACGUCCUGGCCACACCACGUGGGGGUCUCCCCAAGGCACUCAUCCUGGGCCAGAAGGAAGAACGAUAAUCCACAGCCAUCCCCAAUAUUACAGAGACCCCUCCAGAGGGGUAGGGGGAACUUGAAAUACAUCCAUUUGCAAACUACUACAAAGUGCUACUUAAAUCUAAGGCACCAUCGUUUCACCUUGACCUCUGACUCCAGCACAACCGCUUGCCCAGGCUUGCUUCCUGCAGUCUUCACCAUAGUGUGCUUUAGAGUCUUUGUCCAAGGCUGUAGGCCUGGGGUGUGACACAGAGACCGUGACACAACUAAGGAUUGCUCAAAGCAACAGACGUCCUCCAUGUGAGGGACACAACUCAGCAGAUCCUGCAGUGGGCCAAUCAGUGAGAGCGUCACAUCCCGCACCAGGCAAACAGUGGAGGGAGCAGCCCCCGACCCACAACAACCCGAGAGGAGUCCAAGC